CUCAUAUCUCUAUGCCGUGUCUGCGAUUCCAGAUGAGAGGAAUUCGUCCCCAUGUCCAUGUCUCAUCAUCCAUCCCCUGCAAAGCUCCCUGGAGAGGGACUAUCCAGCUCAGCAGACACUGUGGGAGACUCAGGCCACUGUCAGCAGAGAGCAGACCAUUUUACACGUGACCUGCUUCUGGCCUCCGGGAGGGAAGACUGUGGGGGAUAUAGAGGAGGAGGAGCAGGAGCUGUGAAAGUUUGACUCCUUCAAAACGUUAUCUGUCUAGCAGAAAUCCAUGGACAGCCGCACUCGACGAGGAAGCCAGGUCCCAUUCCCGGCACACAUUCUUAGCAGAGACACUGCACCUGGAUGCGUCUUGGGCUCUGUCUUCAAUAUGGGCAGUGGAGAACAAUGAACCUCAUCUCCGUGACAACCAUGCAGAAUUAGCAGAAUCUGAAUUACUCCAGAUAUUCUCAUUCUUAAGUUCUGCUCAGGAAGUGUAUAUUCAUGCCAAGGCCAUGGCACUCAGGUACGAUAUCAGAAAUUUUCAACCAAAGAUAGGUGUGGCCUUUUCCAUGAGCUUCUGGGAGGUAAACGACAUCAUACUCACUGGGAGUGCCUUUGUUAUGGUGAGGGUUGGCCACAUAAGAUCUUAGGGUAGGAUGGGCCGUACCUGAUAGUCAUAUGGUCCAAGCUGGUUGCAAGAGAAAGAUCAACCAUGUGAUUCAGGGCAGGGGCUUUGGGUCACACAGUACCAGUCCACCUGAAGACUGAGUUAGACCACAUGGGAAAUCAAUCAAUCAAUCAUGCCAGUGUAAUGAAACCACAGUAACAACUCUGGAUACAAAGGCUCAGGUGAGCAUCCUGGGUUGGCAGUGCUCCACGUGUACCAUCACACAUGGAUGCCGGGAAGGACUUUUAAAUAAUUCUCAGGAAGAAAGAAACUGCAGAGCCCAAGUGGAAUUCUGGAUAUAAUGAAAUCCUGCCCCAGCCUGGUGGCUUCUCUCAGAUCUUUCCUCCCGGCUUGCUGCUUCAUGAUCUCUGAACCUCCUGUGUCUCCUUCGUGAUAAACUUGCAUUUUCAGAACAUUCCUGUGCUUUUCCAUGAGUGUGAGUGUUUGUUUCAGGUAAGAAACAUACGUGAAGUUUAUAUUUGAUGUGGCAUUUUGACAGCACCCCUUUCUGUAAUUCAAUCUAUGAUCUCCCUUCAAGGUUGACAUUAGAAGUGUGUAGAAUCUGGGCUUUGAAAAAUCUGCAGGUGUAUUCAGAGUUCUUUCAAAAAGAUGUGUUUACUAAAUAAGGCCAAGAAAUAUCUGAAAGGGUUUCAUUUACAAUUUU
rnacentral:lncRNA from 1 species